ACUCCUACGGGAGGCAGCAGUGGGAAUAUUGCACAAUGGGCGCAAGCCUGAUGCAGCAACGCCGCGUGAGGGAUGAAGGCCUUCGGGUUGUAAACCUCUUUAUCAGGGAAGAAGCGAAAGUGACGGUACCUGCAGAAAAGCACCGGCUAACUACGUGCCAGCAGCCNCGGUAAUACGUAGGGUGCAAGCGUUGUCCGGAAUUAUUGGGCGUAAAGAGCUCGUAGGCGGUUUGUCACGUCUGCUGUGAAAAUCCAAGGCUCAACCUUGGA
rnacentral:rRNA from 1 species